rnacentral:lncRNA from 14 species
CUGCAGAAGUGCAGGAUUGCACAGCAUUUUUUGGACUAUGACUAACACAUUUAUCUUCCAUUUAGGCCCAGACGUUUAGCUCCCAGUCACGAAAAGAUGCUUCAAGUAGAGAAGAGGAGAUACUGGAGCAGCUAGAGAGUUGGAAACGUGACUUUGUGCAGCUAAAAAUUACCACAGAAUGUAAAUCAGAAGAAUUAGAACAGCCUCAGAUGAGCUUGGAUGGUACAAGUUGGACGUUUAGCUCCCAGUCACGAAAAGAUGCUGCAAGUGGAGAAGAGGACAUGCCGGAGAAGCUAGAGAGUUCGAAACGUGAUUUUGUGCAGCGAAAAGGUCCCACAGAAUGUCAAAUAGAAGAAUUAGAACAGCCUCAGAUGACCUUGGAUGGUAAAACUUGGGCCCAGACGUUUAGCUCCCAGUCACGAAAAGAUGCUGCAAGUAGAGGAGAGGACAUGCUGGAGCAGCUAGAGAGUUCGAAACGUGACUUUCUCCAGCUAAAAGAAACCACAGAAUGUCGAACAGAAGAAUUAGAACAGCCUCAGAUGACCUUGGAUGGUACAAGUUGGGUAAGUGAGUUGUAUUCAGAAUACCAUUUUUCUUUUUCAAGUAGGGCUGUAUAUAUUUCAGGCACCAUGAGAAAUAUCUCCAGAGCAACAGCAGGC